rnacentral:rRNA from 1 species
GUGAGGAAUAUUGCGCAAUGGAGGCAACUCUGACGCAGCCAUGCCGCGUGCAGGAAGAAGGCGCUACGCGUUGUAAACUGCUUUUAACCGGGAAGAAACCCCAGGACGUGUCCUGGGUUGACGGUACCGGAGGAAUAAGCACCGGCUAACUUCGUGCCAGCAGCCGCGGUAAUACGAAGGGUGCAAGCGUUAUCCGGAUUCAUGGGGUUUAAAGGGUGCGUAGGCGGAGCGUUAAGUCUGUGGUGAAAUCCUGCAGCUUAACUGUAGACUUGCCAUUGAUACUGGCGCUCUUGAGUGCGCUUGAAGUGGGCGGAAUGUGCCGUGUAGCGGUGAAAUGCUUAGAUAUGGCACAGAACACCAAUUGCGAAGGCAGCUCACUAAGGCGAUACUGACGCUGAGGCACGAAAGCGUGGGGAUCGAACAGGAUUAGAAACCCCAGUAGUCC